AAGGGUUAAUUAUUGCAAGAUAUGCAUUUGCAAGGCGAUACCCAAUCACAAUUUCUUUUCUUUGACGUCCCCUAAUCAUUAUUUCAUAAUAACAAAGCUCUUCUUGGUCAAAUAGGUAAAAUUCUGCAGGUUUAAUACACAUCUCAUUCCCCUCCUCUGCAAAGAGUUCCUCUAGUACACGAUUUAUUUGCUUGUCUUCAGCCACCAUUGCCAGAGCCAUACUUACCAGUUCAUUUGACAGCACAUAGUCACUGAUUCUGGACACUGAGACCAGGUUCCUAGUCCUAGAAUCCAGGAUUUCACUAAUGAUUAUUGAUUUGUCUGAAGCUUGCUGUAUUUCACGGAUCCAAGAGCUAUGUGAGAAACCAGAAAACCGUAAAGAUGUUGACUUUGUAUCUCUACAAGGGAGAUGCUCUGG
rnacentral:misc_RNA from 1 species